UGAGGGCUGUUUGAUGAAUCAUCAUCGGGGCUGUCUGGUGAUCCUCCUUGUGGGGUAGUAGUGGUAGUAGAUCCAAUUUCAUUUUGUCCCCAGGUAUUGGAGUAAGUUUGUCCACUGCUUGAGAAUGAGCUGCCAGUGUUACUACCACUGGAUGUUUGGCCAUAACUUGAGCUGAUAGUACUAGGAGAGUCCUUCUGUGGGC